GACGAACGCUGGCGGCGUGCUUAACACAUGCAAGUCGAACGGAAAGGCCCUGCUUUUGUGGGGUGCUCGAGUGGCGAACGGGUGAGUAACACGUGAGUAACCUGCCCUUGACUUUGGGAUAACUUCAGGAAACUGGGGCUAAUACCGGAUAGGAGCUCCUGCUGCAUGGUGGGGGUUGGAAAGUUUCGGCGGUUGGGGAUGGACUGGCGGCUUAUCAGCUUGUUGGUGGGGUAGUGGCUUACCAAGGCUUUGACGGGUAGCCGGCCUGGGAGGGUGACCGGCCACGUUGGGACUGAGAGACGGCCCAGACUCCUACGGGAGGCAGCAGUGGGGAAUAUUGCACAAUGGGCGGAAGCCUGAUGCAGCAACGCCGCGUGCGGGAUGACGGCCUUCGGGUUGUAAACCGCUUUCGCCUGUGACGAAGCGUGAGUGACGGUAAUGGGUAAAGAAGCACCGGCUAACUACGUG
rnacentral:rRNA from 1 species